GCAGGCGGUUUUUUAAGUUCUGAUGUGAAAGCCCCCGGCUUAACCGGGGAGGGUCAUUGGAAACUGGGGAACUUGAGUGCAGAAGAGGAGAGUGGAAUUCCACGUGUAGCGGUGAAAUGCGUAGAGAUGUGGAGGAACACCAGUGGCGAAGGCGACUCUCUGGUCUGUAACUGACGCUGAGGAGCGAAAGCGUGGGGAGCGAACAGGAUUAGAUACCCUGGUAGUCCACGCCGUAAACGAUGAGUGCUAAGUGUUAGGGGGUUUCCGCCCCUUAGUGCUGCAGCUAACGCAUUAAGCACUCCGCCUGGGGAGUACGGUCGCAAGACUGAAACUCAAAGGAAUUGACGGGGGCCCGCACAAGCGGUGGAGCAUGUGGUUUAAUUCGAAGCAACGCGAAGAACCUUACCAGGUCUUGACAUCCUCUGACAAUCCUAGAGAUAGGACGUCCCCUUCGGGGGCAGAGUGACAGGUGGUGCAUGGUUGUCGUCAGCUCGUGUCGUGAGAUGUUGGGUUAAGUCCCGCAACGAGCGCAACCCUUGAUCUUAGUUGCCAGCAUUCAGUUGGGCACUCUAAGGUGACUGCCGGUGACAAACCGGAGGAAGGUGGGGAUGACGUCAAAUCAUCAUGCCCCUUAUGACCUGGGCUACACACGUGCUACAAUGGACAGAACAAAGGGCAGCGAAACCGCGAGGUUAAGCCAAUCCCACAAAUCUGUUCUCAGUUCGGAUCGCAGUCUGCAACUCGACUGCGUGAAGCUGGAAUCGCUAGUAAUCGC
rnacentral:rRNA from 1 species